rnacentral:tRNA from 1 species
GAAAGUGACGGGCAAUUUGUACAUAUUUAAUUUAUUAUUCAAUUUAAUAAAUUAAUUAA